rnacentral:misc_RNA from 1 species
CUAAUGGGGAAAAUGGAAAAUUGAAGCCCAAUAAAGAGAAGAAAAGAGACUUGACUACAGAGGAUGAUAAUUAUAUGGGGAACUACAUGGACUCGGAGCCUAUCAUCUCAUGGUUGGCUCGUUCUUCUCAGAGAGUCAAAUCUUCUCCUUUUCGUGCCUCAAAGAAACAGAAAAUUUCAGGUCUAUCUCUGACCUCAGUGCUACCAUCACUGACUGAUGAUGGUGUCAGUAGACAUGAGAGUUUGGAUGGGGGUUUAAGGAACAAGGAU